rnacentral:rRNA from 1 species
GAUGAACGCUGGCGGCGUGCCUAAUACAUGCAAGUCGAGCGAACUGAUUAGAAGCUUGCUUCUAUGACGUUAGCGGCGGACGGGUGAGUAACACGUGGGCAACCUGCCUGUAAGACUGGGAUAACUUCGGGAAACCGAAGCUAAUACCGGAUAGGAUCUUCUCCUUCAUGGGAGAUGAUUGAAAGAUGGUUUCGGCUAUCACUUACAGAUGGGCCCGCGGUGCAUUAGCUAGUUGGUGAGGUAACGGCCCACCAAGGCAACGAUGCAUAGCCGACCUGGGAGGGUGAUCGGCCACACUGGGACUGAGACACGGCCCAGACUCCUACGGGAGGCAGCAGUAGGGAAUCUUCCGCAAUGGACGAAAGUCUGACGGAGCAACGCCGCGUGAGUGAUGAAGGCUUUCGGGUCGUAAAACUCUGUUGUUAGGGAAGAACAAGUACGAGAGUAACUGCUCGUACCUUGACGGUACCUAACCAGAAAGCCACGGCUAACUACGUGCCAGCCGCCGCAGUAACAC